AUAAGUGCUCUUAAAUCCUACUUGUAUUUUCCUCUGAUACUCCUUUCUUAAUUCCCCUGAAAAUGCUACUCUCCCUAUCCCAAACACAUGCUUCACAGCUUCUCUCACAAUAGUUCUAGUAGCUUUGGGAUUCCUUCUUUGUUGAGAUAUGCCUGAACACGUGAAUGCAGUAAUUUUAUAAGGGAUGAUGCACCCAGUAAGAAAGACCUUGACAACUUCAAAUAGCCUCCAAAUGGAAUUACUUGAGCACUGAAAACAAAUGUGAAAGUUAAGACCAGUAUGUCAACAAAGGCUUCACCACCAAGAGAAGUGGCCUGGCUAUUUUUCUCUCUAUGAUGAAUGCCAAAAAUGAUGUGGAGAUCAUCCACUUCUAAGAAAAGCCAAGCACUGCCUACUCUACAAUCUUCUAUAUAGAAAGCUCUGCUGGAAAAAACAGAACACUCCAGUGAAGCACCUGAAUGAAUAAAAGGGGUUAAGAUUGAUAGGACAUGGACAAAGACAUGGACAAGGAAAUAAAUUAAUAUGAUGAAGUGAAAUCAUUGUU